CCUACGGGUGGCAGCAGUGGGGAAUAUUGCGCAAUGGGCGAAAGCCUGACGCAGCGACGCCGCGUGAGGGAUGAAGGUCUUCGGAUCGUAAACCUCUGUCAGCAGGGAAGAACGGUCACUGUGCUAAUCAGCAGUGAAUUUACGGUACCUGCAAGGGAAGCACCGGCUAACUCCGGGCGAGCAGCCGCGGUAAUACGGAGGGUGCGAGCGUUAAUCGGAAUUACUGGGCGUAAAGGGCUCGUAGGCGGUAUGUCAAGUCAAGGGUGAAAGCCCCGCGCUCAACGUGGGAACUGCCUUUGAAACUGGCAAACUGGAGUGUGUGAGAGGAUAGUGGAAUUCCAGGUGUAGGAGUGAAAUCCGUAGAUAUC
rnacentral:rRNA from 1 species